AAAAAAUUUCAUAGUUUGAAGGAUCAGCACUGUUUCUAUGCACUGAAAUUGAAGCGAACUACAAGAAAUUGCUUUACAAGUUUGAGCAUGAUAUCCUAAGACACAGAUUUACCUCCUUUUGUUUCUUCAAUACAAAGAAAAAACAGAGAAAUAGAAGGAAAAAAUUGGUAUCUUACAACUGUGUUAGUGAUGCCUACAAUGGACCAAGAUUUGUUACUUCGUUUCCUCCUAGUUGAGCCAAGAGGUCAUUUUGCUACCAAGUAGAGUGAGUUACUAUUAACAGCUCCUCCUUCAAGUGAUUGUACAGAAGAUAUGACAACACUAUGGACUUCAUAUCUGCAUCUUUUUCAAGUGUACAGCAAUUGGCAUGCCCAAGAACCCGAAAAAUACACUAACGAACCAUUGAGCAAAUGAGAGGGGAGUAGUGUUAGCAAAUGUCCCCAGGUAUUCGAUGAUUAUGAUUUGGAAGAAGAGAGUUACACCGAUAACUGUCACAAAUACAUAGUUAUCCAGUAUGCCUUCCCAAACCUCAAUUUUUUCCAUCUCUCGGGAGUUCACUUCAUUGAAAAGCUGGCAGAAGACGAACGAGUUGAAAAUAAUUGUGUUGAGGAUAAGGUUAGCAUCCGGGCCAUCAAGACGAAAUAUUGUUUUCCCAUAUACUUGUAGGAACCAUAUAACUAAGAACUGAUAUAAAGAUUGGCCCAAGAUAUUUCUCCACAUCACGUUGCUGAUAAAGUUUCCUUUCCUCCCUACUGGUGCUCUUUUCAUUAGUUCGUCAUUAGGGGGCUCUGUUGCUAAAGCAAGUGCUCCUAAGGUAUCCAUGAUCAUGUUGACCCACAGAAGUUGAACAGCGGUAAGAGGAGCGCUCCCUGUCACACAAGCUGAAGCGAAGUUAACUACCAAUGCAACAAUAUUAACAGUCAGCUGAAACUGAACAAAUUUCUGAAUAUUUAUGUAGACAGAGCGUCCCCAUUUAGCUACAGUAACAAUUGUAGAGAAGUUAUCAUCCAGUAUGAUAACAUCAGCACUCUCUUUGGCAACCUCAGUUCCAGCAAUGCCCAUU
rnacentral:misc_RNA from 1 species